GCUGGGUGUGGUGGCGCGUGACUGUAGUCUCAGCUACUGGGGAGGCUGAGGCUGGAGGAUCUCCUGAGUCCAGGAAUUCUGGGCUGUAGUGCACUAUGCCGAUCUGGUGUCCGUGCUAAGUUGGGCAUCAAUAUGGUGACCUACCAGGAGCAGGGGACCAUCAGGUUGCCUAAGGAGGGGUGAACUGGCCCAGGUUGGAAACGGAGCAGGUCAAAACUCCCGUGCUGAUCAGUAGGGGGAUCGCACCUGUGAAUAGCCACUGCACUCCAGCCUGGGCAACAUAGCAAGACCCCGUCUCAG
ensembl:misc_RNA Metazoa_SRP Metazoan signal recognition particle RNA